rnacentral:tRNA from 1 species
GGAGUGGUUGAUGAUCGCAACAUGGUAGCGAUUGGACUCCAAACUUCUAGUUUGGAGCGCAAUAUUGUAGGUUCGAAUCCUACCGCCACUCUA